rnacentral:rRNA from 1 species
UACGUAGGGUGCAAGCGUUGUCCGGAAUUAUUGGGCGUAAAGAGCUCGUAGGCGGUUUGUCGCGUCUGCUGUGAAAUCUGGGGGCUCAACCUGGGGCUUGCAGUGGGUACGGGCAGACUAGAGUGCGGUAGGGGUGACUGGAAUUCCUGGUGUAGCGGUGAAAUGCGUAGAUAUCAGGAGGAACACCGGUGGUGUAGACGGCUCUCUGGACCGUAACUGACGCUGAGGCACGAAAGCGUGGGUAGCAAACAGG